CAGAAUAACGAAAACUGUUUUUUUACAUUUAAAUAAUUGUCAAAGCUAUGAUUUAGAGAAGCCCUAAAUGACAUUUUACUUCAGGGUGUCAGGGAGAAUAAUAGAAAGGUUGGGACUAAAUUCACUUUUAUAGUGAUGCUAUGCAACCUCCAUUGCUAUUAACGUGGCAGGCGAGGAGAGAGGGACCAGUUUCAGACAUUCAGAGUUCCUGCUAACAUACAUUUAACAGAGUCAGAAUUCCUCCUCCGAGUGCACCAAUUUGACUGAGCAAAAGAACCCUGGAAGAUGCAGUUUCCUCUAAGCAGCCGGAGUAGACGGGUCCUUUUCAUCAAUCCCAGAAGGGGGAGGGGGCAAGAAGAAUAGCUAGAGGGCAUUUUUUUGAAAGCCAAGAGGAGAUUAAAUGACGACUCUACAUCUCCCCUGUUUAAGUGUUGCAACUAAUUCGAAUUCCCAUUUUCUCCUUCGCGUUAAUUAUCUGGACUCUGUGAGUCAUACGGAGCUCCGCUCCAGGUGUCCCAGAGAUUAGGAGCUCAAGAAGAUGGAGAUAUUUGGAGCAAAACCCAGUGAGAAUGGUUUAGUAAAGGGCUGGGGUAGGUGGCUGCGUUUGAUACCUUGCUGUAACCCUCUUUGGAAACAUUGGUUCUAACGAAAUCACCUAAUGGCUUCGCUCUGUUCGCCUGGCGGCCCCUUUGUGUGACUAAAUUUGGCAAGAAUAUGGAUCCCAGCCAGUCUUUCCACGUGUGCUCCCAGCUCCCAGCUGAGAAGGCCAAGGGUUCUCUUCCGGGAAAACCAGUUCAGCUAUUAAGGGGACCACUCAGUGCAGCCGAGCAAGAUCAGGCAAUGUUUCCGAGAGGAGAGCUGUUUACCAUCAAAGAGACUGCAUCCACAGGCAUGGGGUAUUAUACACAAAG